rnacentral:rRNA from 1 species
GACGAACGCUGGCGGCGUGCUUAACACAUGCAAGUCGAACGGAAAGGCCCUGCUUUUGUGGGGUGCUCGAGUGGCGAACGGGUGAGUAACACGUGAGUAACCUGCCCUUGACUUUGGGAUAACUUCAGGAAACUGGGGCUAAUACCGGAUAGGAGCUCCUGCUGCAUGGUGGGGGUUGGAAAGUUUCGGCGGUUGGGGAUGGACUCGCGGCUUAUCAGCUUGUUGGUGGGGUAGUGGCUUACCAAGGCUUUGACGGGUAGCCGGCCUGAGAGGGUGACCGGCCACAUUGGGACUGAGAUACGGACCAGACUACUACGGGAGGCAGCAGUGGGGAAUAUUGCACAAUGGGCGGAAGCCUGAUGCAGCAACGCCGCGUGCGGGAUGACGGCCUUCGGGUUGUAAACCGCUUUCGCCUGUGACGAAGCGUGAGUGACGGUAAUGGGUAAAGAAGCACCGGCUAACUACGUG